rnacentral:rRNA from 1 species
GAUGAACGCUAGCGAUAGGCUUAACACAUGCAAGUCGAGGGGCAGCAUGGUCUUAGCUUGCUAAGACUGAUGGCGACCGGCGCACGGGUGCGUAACGCGUAUGCAACUUGCCUCACAGAGGGGGAUAACCCGUCGAAAGACGGACUAAUACCGCGUACACUUGGGAUAGGGCAUCCUGACCCAAGGAAAUGAAAUUCGCUGUGAGAUAGGCAUGCGUCCCAUUAGCUAGUUGGUGAGGUAACGGCUCACCAAGGCGACGAUGGGUAGGGGAACUGAGAGGUUGAACCCCCACACUGGUACUGAGACACGGACCAGACUCCUACGGGAGGCAGCAGUGAGGAAUAUUGGUCAAUGGGCGAGAGCCUGAACCAGCCAAGUCGCGUGAAGGAUGACUGUCUUAUGGAUUGUAAACUUCUUUUAUACGGGAAUAACAAGAGUCACGUGUGGCUCCCUGCAUGUACCGUAUGAAUAAGCAUCGGCUAACUCCGU